rnacentral:tRNA from 1 species
GCGGUGGUAGCUCAGUCGGGUAAGCGCCCGCUUCUCACGCAAGAGAUGCGGGUUCGAAUCACGGCAUUCAUUCGUA